rnacentral:rRNA from 1 species
GUGAUCCUACGUGCCAGCAGCCGCGCCUACGGGAGGCAGCAGUGGGGAAUCUUGCGCAAUGGGCGAAAGCCUGACGCAGCCAUGCCGCGUGAAUGAUGAAGGUCUUAGGAUUGUAAAAUUCUUUCACCGGGGACGAUAAUGACGGUACCCGGAGAAGAAGCCCCGGCUAACUUCGUG